UCAGGACGGCCAGCCGUGUUUUUCUCCGCCCCGCUUGCACUUCGCUGACUUCAUUGCUCCGGGCUGUCCUCUUCUGCCGCUAGGUCCAGUUGUCUGACGUUUUUUUUAUUUUUUUCUCUCGUGCUCUUCUCCGGCACGGCGGUCUCCUCCCCCUCUCUCAGCAUAUCACAUCUGCGUCCUGCACUUCACAUUCUCUUUCAACUUCUUGAAGGCGGGGGGCAGUGCAGAACAGAGCACGCCAUCCUCAGGUCCAGCGAAAAACGACACCCUUGCGGAGGCAUUGUACCUCUCGCCGCUGCCUCCUCUUCCUCCCUCCAUUUCGUUGGUCGACAGGAUCAUCCUAACGUACAUUGGCGGACUUGGUCAUGUCAGUGGUGGCCGCCAAAAAGAAGGGCGCAGUGUCCGACACUCUGCGCCACUCGCAGAUAGCGGAUGGCAUCCUCGCUGCACAGGACCAGGGCGCGCGUCAGCAAGAACAGAUCCUGCAUAUAACCGAAGAGAACGACCAAAUCAAGAAGGAGAUCAGUGCUCUCUCUGGCACGCAUUACGACUAUGUCAAGGCGGAUAAGCUGGCGUCGUUGCAGAGCGAUGUUGAAGGUCUGGAGCGCCGCUACCAGUUUGAGAAGAUGCGCAAAAAUGAUCUGACGAAGCGGUACCAGCUGGCCCGCAUCGACCUCCUCCAAAGCCGCAAGAUGAAGGGCGGCAUCAAUGUAGAGAAGGAACAGGCAGCGGCGGUGCAGCGCCAGGUCGACAUUCUGGAGAGCCGACUGGAUCAAACGUUAGGUCAGUUCAACGAUGCUCUGUCGUAUAACAAAGAGCUGCGCGACCGCAUCGACGUCAUUCGAGAGGAGCGUCGCGUGUUCCUGCGCGUGCACAAGCGCAUGGAGGACGAUUUGAAGACGAAGAAGCGCCUCAUGGCCGAGCACAUUGAGAAGUCGAACAGGGAUAUGGACGAUCGCGACGCGCAGCUGCGCGAGGUGGAGCGGUUGCGCGCCGCGCUGGCCGAGCAGCGCCAGGCCUACACCAAUCAGCUGCGCGACCUGGACACCGCCAUGAUGGACAUCAAGGCCAUGCGCGAUGAGCAGACGGAGAUGCAGCUCGAGCUGGAGGCGCGCGAGUACGAUUUUGACGAGCGCAUGGGCGACACGAAAGCUGCCCGCGCUCAGGAAGAAGUGGUCACCUCCCGGCGAGCGAUUGGCGCGUCGGUGCCCGGCAACGGCGAAGAGCCGGUCUCCACGACGGGUGGGGAGGACGACGAGGACGACACACACACAUUGCUGUGUGUGGAGAGAGAGUCCGCCACCAUAACAAGCAUUCUUGCUCAGAUCAAGGACGACCUGCAGACAGACGAUAUCGACGAGUUGCGCGCAAAGUACUUGCACACAGGCGACCUGAACUUCUCCAUGUACAAGUACGUCAACGAGCUGUCUGCCAAGAAGGAGGCGCUGAAGGACAGCAUCCGCGACCUUCAGCGUCUUCUGAGCGAGGAGGACGACAGCGAGCGUCAGCACCGCGCUCUCAUCAAGGGGCUCGAGGAGGAGCUGGCAGGCACCGAGUCCAAGCUAGAUGAGAUGAACUACGCGACUGUGCAGUUGCGCGACGCCGUGCAGCGUACCGCAGCCACGGCUGAGGAUGUGUAUGCGCACAUCGGGUGCCCGCAAAUGGCCGAUGGCGCUGUGGAGGGUGAGGAGAGGUGCACAGAGGCCAACAUGAAGCAGUUCCUCGGCACUAUUGAGGAGCGCGCCACGCACAUCUUGAUUGCCUUUCAGCGCCACCACCAGUUUUCCGCGAACUCGCGCACCUCGGUGGCGUCGUCUUCUCGCGUCACCCGAGAUCUUCAGUCUCCGAAGGAGACUGUGCAGAAUUUGGAGGAGGAAGACAAUGCAUUAACUGCCAACACGACAGACUCCCCACACGGCGAAACUAUGCAGAUGGCAGAAGACUGGGAGGUGGAGGAGAGCCCCAUAAUGCCGAUUGCCCCCCAGACAGCCCAUAGCGCCGUAUCGGCACGCGAUCUUGUGCGUAUGAUGGAGCUGCCCAGCGCCAGUCUGGCUGGCGGGACGACAGAUCGCGACAGUAACCUCUACGCUGACCAGGAUGACGAUCACAUCGUCUCGCACGAGGACAUCCGUAAGCAGAUGGAGGCCCGCCUGGCUACGAUGCGUGAGCGUGAGGAGCGCAACCAGCGCAAGAAGAAGGACGCAGCUCAGAAGGCCAAGUAGGUGACAGCAUGCCAGCAACACGGCAGCCACAGCCAGGUGAAAGCAGAGAGAUGGAUAUGCUGGGGAGCAAGAGCGUAACGCCGCCCUCGUGUGUGCGUGCAGGUGCGAUCUUGGUGCCGGAGGCAAAGUGCCCAGCGAAACACACACACGUACACACACACAGUGCACGGCGAUGGACGCGUUAGCUUUUCGCACCGCUUCCUGCUUCUCUUUCUUGCGCGCACCACAGCUCAUUUCACGUCUGCCAGCACCCCCUCUGAGCGCUUUCCAUUUCUUUAUCAUGUGAUGUAGAGCUCCACAGUUGAACGCUUCAAAAGGAGGUUUGAAAGAGGCGGGGUAUGCCGGGGAGGCUAGCAGGCGUGUGUGUGGGGGGGGGAACUCAAUGAUAGUCCGCGUCACUCAGCGACAUAAACAUUCACAUGCAAACGCACAUGGUCACACUUAAAUGCCACAUCCGUCGCGUCAUGCACACACACACACAACACUGAAGGGAAGAGAGGAGCCGCGUCGGCAGAUCCAAACGCGCGCGCGCACACACACACACAGUGAAAUGAAGGGAGACGGUACGCAGCACAAGAAAAGAAACUAGAAACGGAGGAGCUUGGAGAGGGGGCGAUGCAUCAAGCGAGAGCGAGGAGAGAGCCACUGCAAUACCCGUGCUCAUACACGUAACUAUGAAAGGGACAGACUUCAUGAAGGAAAUCUUUUCUUGUAUGUGUGUGCGUGUGUGGACGCGGCUUUUGCAUGGGCGCCGCUUCUGUUGCUCUCUUUCUGUUUUUUUUUUGAACAUUUUCUUCUGCGUCUGACUUGCGUGCAUCUCUCGACUUCAUUUUCGUGGGUGCUUGUAUCACAAAAAGCAAGCAAACAGACGGACAAGACGGCAACAACGGCAACAAAGCAGUUCUGUGGUUGUCUUUGGGCGUUUCUAUGUUGCUACAGAAAGCGUCUGGCGGUGGCUUCGGGUGAGUAUAGGCUGGCUUUGGGGAGUGUUCGUUUUUUCUCUCGUUCGCUUUCAUUUUUUUGUUUUCACUCUGCUUCUCUUCACCCAUAGCCACCACUACCACCACCACUGCCCCCACGUCAUCCACACAGAGGCUCACGCAGGCCGUUGUUGUUCCUUCUCUCUUCUCCACCCCUCUAUCUGUCACGUUUGUGUGUCUUGUUGUCGCGUUUGGUUUUGCAUUAUUGUCCUUGACCCACGCUCUUUUCUGUUGCCUUAUUUUCUUUUUCGUUUUCCCCUCCUCACUUCUCUCCGGGGACGCAAAUGACUCGCAACCGUAUGUUAGCUGAGUAGCGCGCACACACAUAUCAUGUAUAGUUCACGCCCCAUCCCUGUUCUCUGUUGUCCGUCUCCGCCUCCUCUUCCCCCCAUUCCCGGGCCUUUCUCCUCCUUUUCGUCUCUCGUGUAUUUCUUUGUCUCUCGGUUUGGUUCUCUUUCGUAUGUAUUCAAUUUGCUCUUGUCAACGUAACACACACACACACACACACACACACAAAACAAAGAGGCGAACGACACCAACGCGCCGCAAACCGAAUCGGCUCCUUGGGACUCCCUUCUUUGCUGGCAAGGGACUGCCGCCUCCACCUUCUGCCGCCCCCCUGUGCGUGCACUCCCCUGCUUCUUGAUGACCACACCCUUGGCGCUUGUCUUGUUAGCGGCUGUGGGUGGGAUAAUCAGGGCUGUCGAGGUGUGCGUGCGGAAAGACGGUGCGCGAGAGACAUAUGAAGUCUCUUCAAAGCACAUCCAUUUGUGCCCGGUUUUCGUGAGUCGCCAGUCGCCAGCUCGACGGACACACGCACACACAGACACGCACACGCGGCAUCGUGUGUGAUGCAACGGUUGCAUCAGACAGCAGUGGUGCGAUGACUGGCUUGUGUGCAUGGCCGUUCUGUGAAAUCGCCACUCGCUGCCUCUGUUGCAUGUAAGGUCAAGAGCUCUUGCUGUUAAUGACCCGGGUUUUUUUGUUCGCGUCAGCAGAUCAACUCUAGAUACCUUGUUAUUCUCUCCUCUUUUUCGUCGUUGAUGUAUGCAUACGCGCGCUAAAUCUGCUCUGGACAUUCGCGGCAAAUUGUGUCUUGUGCUGCACCGUGGUCACAUGGUCAUUGGUUGUCUCGUUUUCUCUGUGUUUGACACGCUACCCCUAACGAUGCGUCUGAG
rnacentral:misc_RNA from 1 species